GACGUAGGUGGCGACCGUUAUCCGGAAUUAUUGGGCGUAAAGGGUGCGUAGAUGGCCUGAUAAGUUAGCAGUGGGAAAUCGAGGCUCAACCUCGUGGAAGCUGGUAAUACUGUCAGGCUCGAGUGCAGGAGAGGUUAACGGAACUCCAUGUGGAGCGGUAAAAUGUGUAGAUAUAUGGAAGAACAUCAAUAACGGCGAAGGCAGUUAACUAUUCUGUUACUGACGUUGAGGCACGAAAGCGUGGGGAGCAAAAAGG
rnacentral:rRNA from 1 species